rnacentral:rRNA from 1 species
UACGGGGGUGCGAGCGUUGUCCGGAAUCACUGGGCGUAAAGGGCGCGUAGGUGGUUUGAUAAGGGUGUGGUGAAAGUCCGGGGCUCAACCCCGGAUCUGCCGUGCCGACUGUCAAACUCGAGGACUGUAGAGGCAGGCGGAAGUUCCGGGUGUAGCGGUGGAAUGCGUAGAGAUCCGGAAGAACACCGGUGGCGAAGGCGGCCUGCUGGGCAGUUUGCUGACACUGAGGCGCGACAGCGUGGGAGCAACAGG